ACUGAACGCUGGCGGCAGGCAUAACACAUGCAAGUCGAGCGGGGUGAUGGUGCUUGCACUAUCACUUAGCGGCGGACGGGUGAGUAAUGCUUAGGAAUCUGCCUAUUAGUGGGGGACAACAUCUCGAAAGGGAUGCUAAUACCGCAUACGUCCUACGGGAGAAAGCAGGGGAUCACUUGUGACCUUGCGCUAAUAGAUGAGCCUAAGUCGGAUUAGCUAGUUGGUGGGGUAAAGGCCUACCAAGGCGACGAUCUGUAGCGGGUCUGAGAGGAUGAUCCGCCACACUGGGACUGAGACACGGCCCAGACUCCUACGGGAGGCAGCAGUGGGGAAUAUUGGACAAUGGGGGGAACCCUGAUCCAGCCAUGCCGCGUGUGUGAAGAAGGCCUUAUGGUUGUAAAGCACUUUAAGCGAGGAGGAGGCUCUUUUGGUUAAUACCCAAGAUGAGUGGACGUUACUCGCAGAAUAAGCACCGGCUAACUCUGUGCCAGCAGCCGCAGUAA
rnacentral:rRNA from 1 species